rnacentral:snoRNA from 1 species
GCUGCUCAUCUGAUGAUACCUACCGAUCAAGCAUAGUUCACACAGAAACUAUCAUGUUGAUACACAAGCAUCGUCUUUCGCUCCUAUCUGAUCUAU